rnacentral:rRNA from 1 species
GGGCCCGCACAAGCAGUGGAUUAUGUGGUUUAAUUCGAAGCAACGCGAAAACCUUACCAGGUCUUGACAUGCUAAGGAUUCUGAAGAGAUUCGGAAGUGCCCUUCGGGGAGCUUAGACACAGGUGGUGCAUGGUUGUCGUCAGCUCGUGUCGUGAGAUGUUGGGUUAAGUCCCGCAACGAGCGCAACCCUUGCCUUUAGUUGCUACGCAAGAGCACUCUAAAGGGACCGCUACCGACAAGGUGGAGGAAGGUGGGGACGACGUCAAAUCAUCAUGCCCCUUACGACCUGGGCCACACACGUAAUACAAUGGCCGUUAACAGCGAGAGGCGAACCCGCGAGGGGGGAGCAAAACUCCAAAAACGGUCCCAGUUCGGAUCGCAGGCUGCAACCCGCCUGCGUGAAGUUGGAAUUGCUAGUAAUCGCGGAUCAGCAUGCCG